CGGUAUGGGAUGGGGUCGCGUCCUAUCAGGUAGUCGGCGGGGUAACGGCCCACCGAGCCUACGACGGGUAGCCGGCCUGAGAGGGCGACCGGCCACAUUGGGACUGAGAUACGGCCCAGACUCCUACGGGAGGCAGCAGUGGGGAAUAUUGCACAAUGGGCGCAAGCCUGAUGCAGCGACGCCGCGUGCGGGAUGACGGCCUUCGGGUUGUAAACCGCUUUUGUUGGGGAGCAAGCCUUCGGGUGAGUGUACCCUUCGAAUAAGCACCGGCUAACUACGUGCCAGCAGCCGCGGUAAUACGUAGGGUGCAAGCGUUAUCCGGAAUUAUUGGGCGUAAAGAGCUCGUAGGCGGUUCGUCGCGUCCGGUGUGAAAGUCCAUCGCUUAACGGUGGAUCUGCGCCGGGUACGGGCGGGCUGGAGUGCGGUAGGGGAGACUGGAAUUCCCGGUGUAACGGUGG
rnacentral:rRNA from 1 species